rnacentral:tRNA from 1 species
GGGUCCGUAGCUCAGCUUGGUUAGAGCGCUCGGCUGAUAACCGAAAGAGAAGCCGGAAAAGAUCCCCUGUUCAAAUCAGGGCGGACCCA